CAGCAGCCGCGGUAAUACAGAGGGUGCAAGCGUUAAUCGGAAUUACUGGGCGUAAAGCGCGCGUAGGUGGUUCGCCAAGUUGGAUGUGAAAUCCCCGGGCUCAACCUGGGAACUGCAUCCAAAACUGGCGAGCUAGAGUAUGGUAGAGGGUGGUGGAAUUUCCUGUGUAGCGGUGAAAUGCGUAGAUAUAGGAAGGAACAUCAGUGGCGAAGGCGACCACCUGGACUGAUACUGACACUGAGGUGCGAAAGCGUGGGGAGCAAACAGGAUUAGAUACCCCGGUAGUCCCUGUCUCUUAUAC
rnacentral:rRNA from 1 species